CUUGUUUUUUUUUUUUCUGUAUCCGGAUUCGAUCUUUUCUGUGCAUAUCUAUCAUCUUCGCGGUGUUUUACCUGUCCAUUGAACUUGCAGGGUGUUCAGUAAGCCCGAAGAUUAAUCGUGGUGCGCGUAAGCUGGCCCAGACACCCGAAGUUAUCAAAAAAAAAAAAAAAAAAAAAAGAAAAGAUUGUGGUCCUUGACUAGAAGCUUAGGCUUAUACUUGAAAAAAGAAAAACCCAAGAGUUUCCUCUGUUUAGCGAGUGCAGUAUGUAACAAAGACCCCCCACCAAGAAUUGAAAGGCCAAAAUCUCAAAAAACACCCGUUCAAGCCUCCCCGUUUCCUGUUCAACGGACAUCCCCACAUGGUGGUUAUGUCACUGGGGAUCAUAGCCCACCGAUCUAGUAUAUGGUGUACAUUCCUUUGUGAUUUCCUAUGGCUAUCUCUCUUCUUUCUCUCCUUCAUUUCUCUUAUCUUUUCAUUCCCUAUAUAUAUCUUCUGCUAUAAAUAUCUUCACAUUUAUUUUAGAUUGAGACUUAAACAUCUCUCCUUCUAUGCUCAUUACCCAAUUCUAUCACAAAUACCAAAAUAUACCCACCAUUGCUUUUCUAGCUCAUAUGUUUUUAGGGCUAGUAACAUAGUGGAGUGGUUGAGGUUUUUUGUUCAAAGGUUUUUAGCCUUCAGGAAUUAGGACAUCGUUCGAUAGUAUCACAUAAACUUAUGCUGUCUCAAAAACACACCUUUUGCAUGGACAUGACUGUGUUAGAAAGGCAGCAAGCAAGGUUCAAAUGGCUGCAGCAGCAGCAGCAGCAGCAGAACAAUUAUGUGAACCAAUACAAUUCCCUUGAAUCAUGUUCGAUGCCUACUGACCAGUUUCAUGGUUUUGUUGAUCAUGAGUCAAUGAAUGGAGAUAUAAUUGAUUGGAAGAAGAAGCCUGAAAUGUAUCUGGGGAACAAUGAUUUGCCAAAAUAUGGAGGUUUUUCAUUAAAUGGCACUGGGUUGGUUGCUAAUAAUAGGAUGGAUUUUGGACAAGCAGAGGUAGCGGGAUCUGUUGAGAUUGAUCGUUGUCUUUCAAGGACUUCUGGUUGCCAAAUUGGGGUGGUGGAGGCUGCGAAAAUAGAGGAGAAGGUGGUAGCAAUAAAGGUGGCAGAAGAUUUGACCCUGAUGGAAAAUAAGCAAUCCAACAAUGGUAAUGGAGACAAUUCAAAUAAGAGAAAAGCAGAGUUUGUUGCAGCAGAAGAGUGUGACAAUAAGAUUAAAGAAGUAGAAGUCGACUCCAAGGUCAAAGAGAAAAGCAGUAUAGGAAUUUCUGCAGAUUUUUCAAAGGAAAAUCAGAAGACUUCAGCUUUACCAAAGACAGAUUAUAUUCAUGUCCGGGCACGUCGUGGCCAGGCUACUGACAGUCACAGCUUAGCUGAAAGAGCCAGGAGGGAAAAGAUUAGUAAGAAAAUGAAAAGUCUGCAAGAUCUAGUCCCUGGAUGCAACAAAAUAACAGGCAGGGCCGGAAUGCUUGACGAAAUCAUCAAUUAUGUCCAAUCUCUUCAAAGACAAGUAGAGUUCUUAUCCAUGAAACUUGCUGCUCUAAACCCAAGGCCAGAAUUCAAUAUCGACAACUUUUCUGGGAAAGAGUUUUCUGCUUACGUGGAGAGUUUUCCAGCAGCCAGUAUGCCAUCAACAAUUUCCAAUUUGACCCACAUUCAACCAAAUCUAAUGCAACGACAGGCAACAAGCAGCAAGCCAAAAGCUUUGACAAAUCCUCCCCAACCUGUGCCAGUAAAAACUACAAGCUCUUCAGCAUUCAUCAAUGACCUAUGUCUUGAUCCAUUAGCUGUAAUUGCAUCUACACUUGGUGAUUCAAACCCUUUGCUCCUUUCUUGGCAUUGUAUCAUGCCCUUGAUCCUGACAUAUAAUAAAUCAAAUGCAGCAAGUUCAACCUUUUUGGGAUGCUGACUCACAAAACCUUCAAAAUCUGGGGUUCAAUUAAAGUUAAUCAACUUCUCUUUUCUUCUUCAACAUUCACAGGCGUCUCUCGAGGACUCUAUCAGUAAUUUUGGAAACUAAUCAGCAUCUCAAGAAUUCAGAUUCAAUAAUUCAGCAAUUCUGAUAAUUCCGGGCACUGUAAAUAUUUCCUUCCACACGUAUAGAUGGAUGUUGCAAAAACCAUCAUUAAUUCUUCCCAACCAAACAAUCAAAUUUCUUACAUUGCAAGACUAAAGAUAUCCAAUAUGUCUGCAUCUAUGCACUUGGUAAUUAAUAUAUGCUUCUUGUGCUCUUGUACGUUGAAAGAAAAAAGGACCUCAUGAUUGGUACUAUAAGAAAGGUUGUAGGAAAUAAAAAUGAUGGAGGACCAUGAACCAUGGUUGGUUCAUUAAAGCAAAGUGGGGGCAAGGAAAGCUGAAAGAAAAGGGAAGGAGCUUGUUGUUGGAACGGAUGAGCUAGCUAGCUUAGGCUGCUUAGCAGAAGAAGGCAAAAGAAAGCCAUUUGUUUAUAGGACCACAAACCACUGGCUUGAGAAUGUUGUGUCUGUAACUGUACGUAGCUGAAAUCCAUAAUGAGUAUUUGGUA